CUCGAGGGAACCACGCCACGCCAACGCCAUCGCACUCGCAUCCUGCCGCCGCCGCUCCCUGCGCUACCUCGACGGAAGCCAUCUCAAAUCCAUCCCUUCGCCGCCGCCCUCGCGCUCACAUCAAGGAUCGAGGCCUCCAGAGUAUCCUCGAUCCCCGCGUUACCCGUUCGCCGCCGCCGAUCCCGCCGCCGCGGGAGAGGAUGAGCUGAUCUCCAUGGCCAGAUGAGGGAGGAAUACGGGUGACGGGAUGGAUUUGGAUCUCAAGGUGGGGAGGCCAACGUAGCCGCCCCUAGCAGAGGAUUUGGAUCUGAUGGAUUUGGCUGCGUCGACCAGCAGAGGACAGCCGCCGGCUCGGCUCCUCCACCACGAAGCAACCUCCUUCCACCCCGUAACCGCCGUCCGAAACCCUAGCAAUCGAGCCCCACCCAUGGCACCCUAGGUGGUACAGCGGCCAGAGGAGAGGAGGUGGAGCAGCCAUCGCCUGGACAUGAGCAGCAUCUUGGGCAUGCAUCCAUUGAGGACGUGAGGAGAUUGGAGGAAAAAAUAUCAGAAAUCGGAGACAUGACGUUUUGGUUCAGUUCUGGAUCAUUUUCUUUUUUGGUUCAGUUUAUAAAAGUGGUUGUUGUUUUAUGUUGCUGCUAGCCAUCAGAAAACGAGUUCACAGUAGGUUUCCAUCCUUAUUUCUUUCGCAGAUUUAUUCACCUUAUUGGGACGGUGGGGUUAAUAUAUAUACAUCAAUUUUGAGCAUCGGCAACGCAUGAAGCUUGCUUCUGAGGCUGCAACAUACUUUACAAUCCCCCUGUGAAACAUACUUUUGUCACUAUGCACAUAUGGUUAUUUGAACGAAUUGAUGUCGAUUAGACUAUCUUUUUCCUAAUUACUUGUUAUAUGACAUUCUUUACUAUUCAGAGGUUGUUGAAGGGAGAUGGGGCUCUUCAGGCCCCUUUGGUGCAAAAGCACAAGCAGCAGCAUCUACAGCUGACCGCUCAUAGCCUAGGAUGUCCUGCAGAUUUGAUCUAUUUUGGAUAGAGCACAUGGAAUCAAACCACAGAUGACUGGAGCACCUUGUGGUGACUUUGUUCUGCUCGCGAUGUAGUUCUAGAGCAGCUUCAGCGGCAAGAUGCCAUAGUUUCCUAAUUACUACGAUGAUUUGCUGGAUGAGGAGGUGGGUGAGAUGAUGCACAAGGAGGUUGUCGCCGGUCAGAGGAGGAGGGCGACAAGGCUGGAGAGCCGAGGCAGAGGCUUACGGGGAAGAGAAGAAACGACACCUUAUACAUAAAGGAUACCCGCUCCCAGGUGCCAGGAGGACAGCCGUGGCUGACGGAGGAUAAGAGUGUCGAGGAAGUUAACACAUGAAGUAAUCAUAUGAUUCUACCAUGACUUAGUGCUGCACAUAUGUUGAGGUAUGCUCGGAUCACUUCUAGAGAUCUGGAGAGGAAAGUUUGUUCCUUCCUUACAAGAGCCAUAUAAACAAUAAGGAAAAGCUCUUUCCUAGCAUAAGCGGUGACAUACUUGGGACACCAGGAAUAGGAUUGCGGCAGGGUUGGCCAAAGGACUGCACUACUUGCACUUUUUGUACAGCCCAGGAUACCAUAUUGCAACCUAAGGCCAUUGGUAAUUCAGUUAAAUAUAUAUAUUCUCAUUUUUCAGACUUCAGUCAUCAAUUUAGUUCAAUCUGUUAGCUUACUGAUUGCUGCAUAACUACCAUUUCUCAAAUUUACAAUGCGGUUUCUGUGUUGAUUUCAAAAUGGUGAGAUAUAGUUAGUUAUUCACAUUUUAGCAGGGACAAAUCUUGAUUCUUAAAUGCAGGCUAACUGUCAAUUAAUCUUUUAUGUAUAAUACCAACAUGUGUCGUGAUAAUAUAAGAAUGCAACAUUGUAGUGCCAUAUAAUCUAUCAUUUUUUUGGAACCAUAAGCAUGCAGCAUGUACUGCCAAAACUAUUUAUCAUAUGCUGUCAGAGAGAUCUAGCUCAAUAUGGGUUCAGAAGGAAAUUGUCAAAGAUGAAGUGGUACACAUCUACAAUUAUAGUAAAUUUUCUUUAGGGAUUCUAUUACCAAGAAGCACUUGAGUGGUUUGCUCCAUGGUAUAACUAACGAGCAUUUACUGGCUUCCUUCGUUAGUGUUUAUUUGGCAACGGGCAAAGCCAAGGCGUCGCCGGCGAUGCGCUAUCGUUCAGGCGCAUCAUCAAGGCCCGUCUUGACGUGAGCAUGAGGUUGCGUGCUGAAUAUCAUCUCUGUCGGCUGCACCUUGAUCGAUAGGAUGGAAGAUGAGAUGUGUGGACCACCGUUUAUUGGUUGCAGAGAAUUUUUUGUGGGGAGGUGAGACUAUGUAUGUGGGCUAGGAAAGUGCGUCGUCUGUUUCAGUAGCGGUUUCAGAAGCGGAAGAGCAAACAAUUUCGGGCUAGACGGCUGGCGUUGAGUCUUGACUGUUAGGCUUACGGAACUGCUGGAUGAGAGUAUAGUAGAGGCAAGCAUAGCCCAGCGAACAAAUAGGAAAAAUAAAAUAAUUGAUGAUGGAGUUUAUAGGUCAGACCCGAGGAGGUGGGCUUGAGUGGGACUGCAUGAGAUAUGACGUGGCUCGAUGUGAUUAGAUGCGGAGGUGUCUAUGCUGCAUGUUGAGAUAAAUCAAGGAGUGGGGGUGAACAAAUUAAGUAGCAACGCAUGGGUAUUACACCCAAUGUAGUGCCAUAAAUCUCAUCGUAUUGUAUAACCCUCAUCUCAUUGUAUUGUAUAUAUUCAUAUAUUGAUGCAUCAAGGGGUUGCUAAUUGUUGCGAAGUGACAUCUACAUUGCCAACAGAGAAAAUAAAGUUAGUGCGAAGAAGACACGCGUCAGGGAGGAAGUAGGGCAUGCACAAUAGAAUGGGGAUAUAUUUAGGAUGUGAUGAAAAACUGCAUGCUAUAGCAGAGAGACUUGGAUUGGAGGCAAGUCGAGUUAUGGGCGGAGAUGAGAUGACGAAGACAAGAUGAAGACUUGUGGCGGGGAAAAACACGACAUGAUUUAGACGACAAGGGUGCCAUCCCUCCUAACUGCGCCACCCCGGCGUGCUCGAUGUUGACGCUGAGGGUGCCGUCUCUCCACCUCGUUGUGCCACACCAUUGUGCCUCAUGUAAACGAUGCGGGCGUCGUCCCUCCUCGCUGCGUCACACCUUUGUGCCGGUUGUAGAGACGAGGGCGCCGUCAGCGGCGAGCCUUUCUGCACCGAACAAUAGGAUCCAUCUGACCAUGAUGCCUGAUUGGCGAGCGCACGGGCUCCAUGCCGAUGUGGUGGCGGGAGGGGUUGUCAUCAGAGAAGGAGGCCAACGAUGCCAUAGCGGGGAGAGGAGGAUGUGGGCGACACCAUUG
rnacentral:rRNA from 1 species